rnacentral:rRNA from 1 species
UACGUAGGGGGGCAAGCGUUGUCCGGAUUUAUUGGGCGUAAAGAGCGUGUAGGCGGCCAUGCAGGUCCGUUGUGAAAACUCGAGGCUCAACCUCGAGACGUCGGUGGAAACCGCAUGGCUAGAGUCCGGAAGAGGAGAGUGGAAUUCCUGGUGUAGCGGUGAAAUGCGCAGAUAUCAGGAAGAACACCCGUGGCGAAGGCGGCUCUCUGGGACGGUACUGACGCUGAGACGCGAAAGCGUGGGGAGCGAACAGG